ACUGGAGAGGAGGCAGGGACAGACCCAGCAGCACCCACCUGAGCGAGAAGAGCAGACACCGUGCUCCUGGAAUCACCCAGCAUGUUGCAAGGUCUCCUGCCAGUCAGUCUCCUCCUCUCUGUUGCAGUAAGUGCUAUAAAAGAACUCCCUGGGGUGAAGAAGUAUGAAGUGGUUUAUCCUAUAAGACUUCAUCCACUGCAUAAAAGAGAGGCCAAAGAGCCAGAGCAACAGGAACAAUUUGAAACUGAAUUAAAGUAUAAAAUGACAAUUAAUGGAAAAAUUGCAGUGCUUUAUUUGAAAAAAAACAAGAACCUCCUUGCACCAGGCUACACGGAAACAUAUUAUAAUUCCACUGGAAAGGAGAUCACCACAAGCCCACAAAUUAUGGAUGAUUGUUAUUAUCAAGGACAUAUUCUUAAUGAAAAGGUUUCUGACGCUAGCAUCAGCACAUGUAGGGGUCUAAGGGGCUACUUCAGUCAGGGGGAUCAAAGAUACUUUAUUGAACCUUUAAGCCCCAUACAUCGGGAUGGACAGGAGCAUGCACUCUUCAAGUAUAACCCUGAUGAAAAGAAUUAUGACAGCACCUGUGGGAUGGAUGGUGUGUUGUGGGCCCACGAUUUGCAGCAGAACAUUGCCCUACCUGCCACCAAACUAGUAAAAUUGAAAGACAGGAAGGUUCAGGAACAUGAGAAAUACAUAGAAUAUUAUUUGGUCCUGGAUAAUGGUGAGUUUUAAACAGUUUGCUGGGAGAUGUCACUGGGUUUUUCAAUGAACGCACAUGAAGCAUGGAAGCAAAGUCAAGACAUUUGAGACCAAUGUGGCUGACUGGCUCCCAAAGGAUGACCACAACUUUUGCUACAUAGCUUUAUAAAAAGCUCAAUACUCAUGUGGCCUUAGUUGGUAUGGAAAUCUGGACUGACAAGGAUAAGAUAAAGAUAACCCCAAAUGCAAGCUUCACCUUGGAGAAUUUUUCUAAAUGGAGGGGGAGUGUUCUCUCAAGAAGAAAGCGUCAUGAUAUUGCUCAGUUAAUCACAGCAACAGAACUUGCUGGAACGACUGUGGGUCUUGCAUUUAUGUCUACAAUGUGUUCUCCUUAUUCUGUUGGCGUUGUUCAGGACCACAGCGAUAAUCUUCUUAGAGUUGCAGGGACAAUGGCACAUGAAAUGGGCCACAACUUUGGAAUGUUUCAUGACGACUAUUCUUGCAAGUGUCCUUCUACAAUAUGUGUGAUGGACAAAGCACUGAGCUUCUAUAUACCCACAGACUUCAGUUCCUGCAGCCGUCUCAGCUAUGACAAGUUUUUUGAAGAUAAAUUAUCAAAUUGCCUCUUUAAUGCUCCAUUGCCUACAGAUAUCAUAUCCACUCCAAUUUGUGGGAACCAGUUGGUGGAAAUGGGAGAGGACUGUGAUUGUGGGACAUCUGAGGAAUGUACCAAUAUUUGCUGUGAUGCUAAGACAUGUAAAAUCAAAGCAACUUUUCAAUGUGCAUUAGGAGAAUGUUGUGAAAAAUGCCAAUUUAAAAAGGCUGGGAUGGUGUGCAGACCAGCAAAAGAUGAGUGCGACCUGCCUGAAAUGUGUAAUGGUAAAUCUGGUAAUUGUCCUGAUGAUAGAUUCCAAGUCAAUGGCUUCCCUUGCCAUCACGGGAAGGGCCACUGCUUGAUGGGGACAUGCCCCACACUGCAGGAGCAGUGCACAGAGCUGUGGGGACCAGGAACUGAGGUUGCAGAUAAGUCAUGUUACAACAGGAAUGAAGGUGGGUCAAAGUACGGGUACUGUCGCAGAGUGGAUGACACACUCAUUCCCUGCAAAGCAAAUGAUACCAUGUGUGGGAAGUUGUUCUGUCAAGGUGGGUCGGAUAAUUUGCCCUGGAAAGGACGGAUAGUGACUUUCCUGACAUGUAAAACAUUUGAUCCUGAAGACACAAGUCAAGAAAUAGGCAUGGUGGCCAAUGGAACUAAGUGUGGCGAUAACAAGGUUUGCAUUAAUGCAGAAUGUGUGGAUAUUGAGAAAGCCUACAAAUCAACCAAUUGCUCAUCUAAGUGCAAAGGACAUGCUGUGUGUGACCAUGAGCUCCAGUGUCAAUGUGAGGAAGGAUGGAUCCCUCCCGACUGCGAUGACUCCUCAGUGGUCUUCCGUAGACUUCUCCAUUGUGGUUGGGGUGCUGUUCCCAAUGGCGGUCAUUUUUGUGGUGGUUGCUAUGGUAAUCCGGCACCAGAGCUCCAGAGAAAAGCAGAAGAAAGAUCAGAGGCCACUAUCUACCACUGGCACCAGGCCACACAAACAGAAGAGGAAACCCCAGAUGGUAAAGGCUGUUCAACCCCAAGAGAUGAGUCAGAUGAAGCCCCAUGUGUAUGAUCUGCCAGUAGAAGGCAAUGAGCCCCCAGCCUCUUUUCAUAAAGACACAAACGCACUUCCCCCUACUGUUUUCAAGGAUAAUCCAGUGUCUACACCUAAGGACUCAAAUCCAAAAGCAUGAAGCAACAGCUAAGCAAGAACUAAUGGCUAAAUUAUCAACUUGGAAAACUGGAAAAUCUGGAUGGCAGAGAAAUAUACUAUCUAUCUCACCAGUAUUUGCUCUCGACUCAAGAAGGUUAACAUUUUCUGAUUCAUGUUAGACUUUGAAGAGACUAAAGAAAAUUUUCAAGAGGAACAUAUGCCUGAGAACCUUUGCAUGAAUUUAAAAUUUCAAUUAUCCAUUCUUAUAAGAAGGAAGAUGAUUGUAAAGAAAUAUCUCCGAAGUUAAAAUCUGUAAUAGGAAUUGAUUCAUUCUCUAAUGAAAACAAAACAUAAAAACAUCACACUAAUCUUGGAGGAAUAAGAAAAAUUGUACAUCCAUUAAAUGUACAAUUGAUUGCAACAUCUUGAUUGUUUUAACCAUUAACUUGUCAAAUUACAAUCACAGUUAAGAAAAUGAUGUAAAAUUCUGUUUUGUGGAUCUCUUUCCUAGAUUAGCUUCUGAAAUCAUUAUUAGCUAUAUCAUUUGAGGUUUUCUACAAUUUGGUAUAACUAAGAAUUUAAAAAUGUUUUAUCAUAUAUAUUUGUAUAAUUAAUUACUGGCAUGGUUAAAGUGGUUUUCACUUUUUAAAUGGAGAAAAUUUCAGUUAAAUUAAUAGGAUAAACCAGGUUGCGAACUGGUGACCUGUAGGCCAUGUUUGCACUGCAAAUAUAUUUGGUCUGAAUGAUAUUGAUAUUGGACACAUAGUACUUUUACAUGUUUUGAAUGUAUUGCUAAUAUUUAAAAAUUGAGAGAUCUUGCAUAAACAAUAGAUUCCCAGCUUUGUCAGAUGUAAUCUAAAAGUAAUCCGAUGCUUUGUCAACAACAGACUUACAUUGCCCAUAGCAACCGUCAGCUUAGUUGAUGGGUAAUGUAGCAAACACUAUUGGUUUCCUACCAAAUAAUCCCCUUUUUCCUGGCUUUUAGAACAAUAAUUUUGUUCACCUGCCCACUUCUAGGAAAGAAUAUCCUAUCUAAUCUAUCUAUCUCAGGGAUAAAUCCCUAUCCUUUUAAGUAAGUCAAGUCAAUUAAAAUAACCUCAUUUUUCCUUGCUAGUGGUCGACUUGGAGAUGAUUUUAUAAUCCUCCCCCUCCCUUUUUUUUUUUGCUAGUAAGACGACAGAGGAAUUAUGUUACAACACUUCUGGAAAAUUUUUCCUCGUCUCUUUUUCUGGAUAUGGGCAUCUGAAUACUCUAGCUGGUACUGCUGCGCUCCACACGGUGAUUAUGAAGGCUGAAAAAGAUAGAUAGAGCAGAAAGAUGAAAAGAAUAAAACCUGGCCUUUCAAUGAUGUCAUGGAAUUGGUAGAUCAGUGACUGCUGGAGUUACCUCACACUUUCUUGGUACUCCUUAUUAUAUGAGCCAUACAUUUUCCUUGUUGUUUAAGCCAUUUUGAAUUGGAUUUUCUCUCACUUUCAACAGAGAUCAUCCUAACUAGUAAAGUAGCUGUUUCCAUAAUCAGGGAACAUGCUUUAGUUCAUCAUCACAGCUACAGUUUUUCUUGUAUUUGUCUGCUUCACCCAUUUCUAUCAAUCACUUACCUGGUCCCCACAGGCCUGUCGCUUCAUGAGGAACUUUAUGGUUCAUUUACCCUUGCAGUAUGAGGUUCUAGAUAAGCCCACUCUGGCCUCAAAAGUGAAGCUCAGUCCUCAGGAAAUCCAGAGUCCACUGAUCAAAUCACUGUCAAGGAUACAGGCUUUUUCUCCAUGUGGCAUUUGCAGAAGAACAACUUUAAAAGUAGAGCUUUAUCUGCCCUGUGAGGUUUCAGAAGACCCUCCCCUGACCCAGAAAUAAAUCCCUAUUUCCUGGAAAGCCAUUAUGUACUCGUGACCAACUUGUGAACUUUUCUGUGUUGUUGUUGUUGUUUUUUAAAUAUCUGUCCCCAGUAAUAGAUUCACCUAAUCCUUUUUUAUACUGAUGGAAUGGAAAUCUUAAAUCUAUGAAUCCUCAACUAGCCAUGUACCAUAACCCAAGCAAAAACUAAACCAUACACUCUCAAAAGCAGUGGCAUGUGAACAUGCCUGCAAGUUCCUAAAUGAUGUCACUAGGUCCCUGAUGCAGAUGCAUCAUACGUCCUAUUUGAAGAGAAGAAAUGCAGUACAAUGACAGGAAAACCAUUAUUUUAUCAUAGAACUGCGAACCCAAGUCCUACAAUGUUUCCCUUUCAGCUCAACUGCAGAAUAGUUUAGAACAGACUUUUUGAUUUCACAAUACUGUUUCCACACUUACUUAUAUCCGUAACUUUCUAACUUUAAGGGAAUUCCGCUUAUUUGACAUUUAACUACCUCAGAUAUGCCACCAAACCUGUUUUCAUCAUUAGUUAUUUUUACCUUGUCUACUUUAAAACAGUGAAAUUAUUAGGUUAAAUUAUGUUUUUAUCCAGUUACUCUAAGAUACCUUAGUGUUUGUCUACUUAUUACAACUCACCAAAUUACUGGUUUUAUAUGGCCUUUGGGAAGGCUUUUAGCUUUUUAUAAAAUAAUGAAGUAUGCAUGAAAAGAAAGCAAAUUUUAGUUGGUUGCAGUCAGAGAAUAUGGAAAGGGUUAUUAUUAUAAUUAGGAUUUUAUUAUUCACAUUGGAAAUCACUGCUAUGUGUUAAGGAAUUGAAGGUGGCCUCUGGCUAGCAGCCAUUAAGAAAAUGAGCCCCUGAGUUCAACGACCCUCAAAUGAAGUGAAGUCUACCAAUAACCACUGAAUAAGCUUGGAAUUUUAGAUUCCUUCCCAGCUGAAUCUUGACUUCAGCCUUGUGAGACACCCUGAAGUAGAGGAUGCAGCUAAAUUUUGUCCAGAUUACACACCCACAGAAACUGUAUGAUAAUUAAUAUGUGUUGUUUAAAGUUGUUAUGGUUUGGAGAUAUUUGUUAUGCAGCAAUAGAUAGCUGAUACAAGGAAGUAGAGAACAAACAUUUUCUAUUAGUCUGUUUUCACAUGGCUAUAAAGAAUACCACCUGAGACUGGGUAAUUUAUAAAGAAAGGAGGAUUAAUUGACUCAGAUUUCCACAUGGCCUAGGAGGCCUCAGGAAACUUACAAUCAUGAUGAAAGAGGAAGCAGAAACAUCUCAUAUGAUGGAAGAUGUGUAUGAAGGAGGAACUGUCAAACACUUAUAAAACCAUCAGAUCUCUUGAGAGCUUACUAUCUCGACAAAAGCAUGGGGGAAACCACCCCCAUGAUCCAAUCACCUCCCACCUGGUCCCUCCCUCAACAUGUGGAGAUUAUAGCAAUUAAAAAAAUGAGAUUUGGGGGGAUGGACACAGAGCCAAACCAUAUAAUGUUUUAAAUGCUCCAGAUAGGUUUAGGUAAAAUUAACUAUAUUUAAUAGGCUUUCAUCACUGCAAAACUUUUUUUCCUUUCUUUGUGUCUCUAGUCUCUUCCAUUUGUUCUCCCUUCUUUACUAGCACCGAGGAUUUGCUUGAAAUCUCUGAUAGCCAGUAUUCUCAUUUAUCAUAUUCUUUCUCACUUUGUGUUUCCUUGGUAAUUUUGGAUAACUCCUUAAAUUUAUCUUCCAAAUUACUGGUUUUUAUAUUCUGUACUGUCAGUCCUCCUGUUCACUAAUUUCAAAAUUUAUAGUUGUUUCUCUUGUUUACUUAUAUAGUUGUUUCUCUUGUUUACUUAAUAACAUUCUCUUCUUUCCUAUCAGUUUAAUUUUAUAAAGGCUAACCAAUUAACUGUUUUUAACUUAUAUUUCCAGAUAUUUUAAAAAUUAAAGCAAAAUGUGUAUAAACUUUAUUACUGCUUCCCACAGUAAAUAUUUUUCAGAAGUACAUGCUUUCUCAGCCACUUGACUAGUAUGUUCCCCAUCAUUCAAAGACACCAUUAUUUCCUAAGUGUUAUAUUGCUAUUUUUCAGUUGGUGCAUCCAAUAUUAUUAUCAGCUUUAAUAUUGUUUCAUCAUAUGUCAUUGUUCAAAGAAUCCAUCUCUUGAGCGUAAGCUAAAUAAUUUGCAUACACUAGCAUCUGGAUGUAAUAUGGAAAAAUAUGGAAAUGGUUGGGGUGAUAAGCAAGUCUUGCAUAUUCUUUUCUCCUCAAUUUUUUUUCUCCAAAGUGGGCCAAGCCAAGAGUGGCACAGCUGUGUGGAGAUACUGAGCUCCACCUUGUCAGGGAAGAUCCCAACUCAGGAGAAAACACCUCUAACAAAAUCUGUAGCCACGUUGGCACAUCUGCCCUUGAAUUCACUUUGUCUCUUUUGCUGCUUCCAUAAAAAGGCUUUCCCUUGACAAUGUUAGGCACUUUUUAGCAACUAGGCCUGGGUGGUCUGCUACAAUGCCCAACACUUAAUACAGUAUCACUAUUACUGUUAGUAGUAUGCUAAGCGAAUACUAUUGUUAUAAAAAAAAUCCUAAGCAUGAAAAUUACGGUAUACAAUUUAUUGUGAAGGCAACUUCUUGUGAACAUUAAACGGUUUAUCUCCUUCACCUCAUAUUAAAGUCCAUACUCUUGGGAUAUAUCUGACAUCUCAAUAUUAAAUGACUAAGAUGACUAAGUCGUUUAUGUUGCUCCCACCUCACACAAAGUUAAAACUAUUUGUUACUUUAAAUAGUUUGACAAUGUUAUUUUAAAAUCUGGACAAAUCACAAAUAUAAAAUACUUAUUUAA